rnacentral:rRNA from 1 species
AACGAACGCUGGCGGCAUGCCUAACACAUGCAAGUCGAACGAGACCUUCGGGUCUAGUGGCGCACGGGUGCGUAACGCGUGGGAACCUGCCCUUAGGUUCGGAAUAACUCCCCGAAAGGGGUGCUAAUACCGGAUAAUGUCUUCGGACCAAAGAUUUAUCGCCUUUGGAUGGGCCCGCGUUGGAUUAGCUAGUUGGUAGGGUAAAAGCCUACCAAGGCGACGAUCCAUAGCUGGUCUGAGAGGAUGAUCAGCCACACUGGGACUGAGACACGGCCCAGCCUCCUACGGGAGGCAGCAGUGGGGAAUAUUGGACAAUGGGCGAAAGCCUGAUCCAGCAAUGCCGCGUGAGUGAUGAAGGCCUUAGGGUUGUAAAGCUCUUUUACCCGGGAUGAUAAUGACAGUACCGGGAGAAUAAGCUCCGGCUAACUCCGUG